rnacentral:lncRNA from 1 species
UAUGCUAGGAAUAUGCUAUAUGGAAGGUCUAUAAAUACCACCAUACCAUAACUCCAUCAUUCCACACUCAACACUACACUCCAUCUCCUCCCUCCUUCCCCAAAUCGGCAGCCAUCAACCACCACCCUACCACCAUCAUUCGACCUUGUUCCAUCCAUUCUAUUACCAUACAAGGGUGCAAGGAGACACACAACGAAGCUUGGUGCGUUCGGAAGUCGAAGGACCGAUCUCGUUUUCUUUUAUCCACCACUUUUCUACACUCGAACACCCCUAGCCUUGUGCUAGUAUUAAUGAUGGCGGAUAAACAAUUUGAGGGAUUGUGUUAACAUUUAAAAACGCAC